UACGGAGGGAGCUAGCGUUGUUCGGAAUUACUGGGCGUAAAGCGCGCGUAGGCGGCUUUGUAAGUUAGAGGUGAAAGCCCGGGGCUCAACCCCGGAACUGCCUUUAAGACUGCAUCGCUUGAAUCCGGGAGAGGUGAGUGGAAUUCCGAGUGUAGAGGUGAAAUGCGCAGAUAUCAGGAGGAACACCCGUGGCGAAAGCGGCUCUCUGGGACGGUACUGACGCUGAGACGCGAAAGCGUGGGGAGCAAACAGG
rnacentral:rRNA from 1 species